rnacentral:rRNA from 1 species
AUUGAACGCUGGCGGCAGGCCUAACACAUGCAAGUCGAGCGAGCGGCGGACGGGUGAGUAAUAUAUGGGGACUGCCCUAGAGAGGGGGAUAACUACUGGAAACGGUGGAUAAUACCGCAUACUAUCGGAUAACCCAUAUGGGAUUAGCUAGUAGGUGGGGUAAAGGCUCACCGAGGCUACGAUCUCUAGCUGGUCUGAGAGGACGAUCAGCCACACUGGGACUGAGACACGGCCCAGACUCCUACGGAGGCAGCAGUGGGGAAUAUUGCACAAUGGGCGCAAGCCUGAUGCAGCCAUCCCGCGUGUAUGAAGAAGGCCUUAGGGUUGUAAAGUACUUUCAGCGGGGAGGCGUUACCCGCAGAAGAAGCACCGGCUAACUCCGUGCCAGCAGCCGCGGUAAUUC